CCCAGACUCCUACGGGAGGCAGCAGUGGGGAAUAUUGCACAAUGGGGGAAACCCUGAUGCAGCGACGCCGCGUGAGUGAAGAAGUAUUUCGGUAUGUAAAGCUCUAUCAGCAGGAAAGAAAAUGACGGUACCUGACUAAGAAGCCCCGGCUAACUACGUGCCAGCAGCCGCGGUAAUACGUAGGGGGCAAGCGUUAUCCGGAUUUACUGGGUGUAAAGGGAGCGUAGACGGUGAAGCAAGUCUGAAGUGAAAGGCGGGGGCUCAACCCCCGGACUGCUUUGGAAACUGUUUGACUGGAGUGCAGGAGAGGUAAGUGGAAUUCCUAGUGUAGCGGUGAAAUGCGUAGAUAUUAGGAGGAACACCAGUGGCGAAGGCGGCCUGCUGGACUGCAACUGACGUUGAGGCCCGAAAGCGUGGGGAGCAAACAGGAUUAGAUACCCCUGUAUA
rnacentral:rRNA from 1 species